rnacentral:rRNA from 1 species
AUGAACGCUGGCGGCAUGCCUUACACAUGCCAGUCGAACGGCAGCAUGACCUAGCUUGCUAGGUUGAUGGCGAGUGGCGAACGGGUGAGUAAUGCAUCGGAACGUGCCUUUUAGUGGGGGAUAACGUAGCGAAAGUUACGCUAAUACCGCAUAUUCUCUGAGGAGGAAAGCAGGGGACCUUCGGGCCUUGCGCUAGAAGAGCGGCCGAUGUCGGAUUAGCUAGUUGGUGAGGUAAAGGCUCACCAAGGCAACGAUCCGUAGCGGGUCUGAGAGGAUGAUCCGCCACACUGGGACUGAGACACGGCCCAGACUCCUACGGGAGGCAGCAGUGGGGAAUUUUGGACAAUGGGCGCAAGCCUGAUCCAGCCAUGCCGCGUGAGUGAAGAAGGCCUUCGGGUUGUAAAGCUCUUUCGGCUGGGAAGAAAUCGCACCCUCUAAUACAGGGUGUGGAUGACGGUACCAGCAGAAGAAGCACCGGCUAACUACGUG